UGAAGGAUAAAAUGUAAUCAUCAAAAUAUAAGAUGACAAGCCACAGAGUGGCAGAAAAGAUUUGCAAAAGACAUAUAUAAGACUGUUUUCUAAAAUAUACAAAUCUUAAAAUUCAACAAUAAUUUAAAAAUGGGCAAAAGACUUAAACAUUUGCUUCAUUAAAAAUAGAGAUGGCAAAUAAGCAUAUGAAGAGAUGCUCAUCCUCAUAUGUUAUUAGGAAAUUGAAAAUUGUAACAAGAAUUAGAUAUCAUAACACACUAUUAGAAAGGCCAAAAUCCAAAACAUUAACCACACCAAAUGCUGGGCAGAGUGUAGAGCAACAGGAACUCUGAUUCAUUGCUUGUCAGAAUGCAAAACGGCACAGCACUUUGGGAUAGAGUUCCAUGCUGUCUUAGAAAAUUAAACAUCUUCUUAAAAUAUCCAGCAAUUACACUCAUUGGUAUUUCCCCAAAUGAUCUGAAAACUUAUGUCCACAUAAAAACCUGCACAGAGAUGUUUGUAGUAGCUUUAUUCAUAAUUGCCAAAAACUGGAAAAAAAACCAGAUGUCCUUCAGUAGGUGAAUGGAUAAACUGUGGUACAUCCAGACAAGAGAAUUUUAUUUAGAGCUAAAAAGAAAUGAGCUACCAAACCAUGACAAGACAUGGAGUAAACUUAAAUGUACACUUUGAGUAAAAGAAGCCAAUCUGAAAAAAACUACAUAUUAUAUGAUACCAAAUAUAUGACAUUCUGGAAGAGACAUAACUAUGGAACAGUAAAAAAAAAUAAUCAGUAGUUACUAGGAGUUAGGAAGGAAUGAAUAGGGGAAGCACAGAGGAUUUUUAAGGCAGCAACACUAUUUUGUGUGAUAGGGUAAUCAUGAAUACACAUCAUUAUACAUUUGUCAAAACCCAUAGAAUAUAUGACAUCCAAAGUGAAUCUAACAUAAACUAUGGACUUUGGGAAAUAAUGAUGUACCAAUGUAGGUUCAUCAAUUGUAACAAAUGUACCACUCCACUGCAUAGUGUUGAUAGAAGACACAGUGAAGGGGGGAAGGGGUGGAUGAGGCAUAUGGGAAAUCUCUGUACUUUCCACUCAGUUUUGUGAAUCUAAAAACGUUCUUAAAGUCUAUUGUUUAAGUAAUUAUUCCAGUUAAGAGGACAGGAAAUAAAAGAGGGUGCGGGGGAAGAACAUGGUAAUAGAAAGCAAAAAAAGAAAAAGGUAGAAAUAAAUUCAAAUGUACCCCAAAUCACACUAACUUUAAGUGGGCCAAAUUCUCCUUAAUGUUAAAUGUCAGUGAGUUUAUAAAUUAGAAUUAAAUAAAAUCCCUUUUUAAGCUGUUCGAAAGAUACAUCUAAAACAUAAUGACACCAAAAUGUUGAAGGUCAAGAAAUCGGAAAAUAUUAAAUAUAAACAAAGGGGAUGCUAUAAUAUCUGUUUUAACAUACAGAACUCUUGAGAGAACAUAAUGACUAAUAUUUCUAUUCUCUGAUCACAUCUUCCACUUAGACCACAUUCCUGGAUCAAGAACCAAGAGUAGUACAUCUCCAUUCUAGAUCUGGCACCUGAAAGUUGAGUCACUAGAAGGGUAUAUUGUCUUCAGGGAAUGUCUAGACACAGGAAUAUCUGUGAGGCAAAUAAAACUCUGGGUAGGAUGGGCUGUUCUAGGAACAUGUUGUUAAUGCCAUAAAAGAUUAAAACCUUGGGAUAACUAGAUUAUGAUAUUCUUAAGAUGAAGGAUAAUGUUUUAUUAUUCAUAUCUGAAUCACUAGCACCUAAAACAUUAUAUAGGUAUCAAGUUAAUGUUGGACAAAUAAAUGAGUGAAUUAACGUAUGUACAUUGUAUAGUACAAUGGUUUAGUUCUUCAUUAUCAUACAUGUAAAUCAAUUUAUCAAUACAGUAAAUAUUGCUGUACUUUCUCUAUGUCAAAGGCCUAAAAUGUGUAAAGGGGAUAUAGGGAUAUGAGAAUGCUUAGAUAAACCCUGCCUUGUCUUCUCAUGCUCCCUAGCAAAGACUUUUCUACUGUGAAGUCUUGUCUUGGAGGGUGUUUCUACCACCUCUCUUUUCUCACAGCCUUUCUUUUACAGCAGUGAUUCUCAAAUUACGGUCCACAGACAGAAACAUACAGUCCAUGUGCCAGCCCACGGAAUGCUUCUACUGGUCCUCAUCAAGAUCCAUAUGGAAACUGAGGUGACAGUGAAUACACAUGGAUGAAAAUAAACGUCUUCAUGGACAAGAAAAAAAUAAGUUUUGUACAGUCACAAGAGACAGUUAAGAACUCAGGUACUUUUCCAACUACCCAGAUGAAGAAGUCAUUAAAACAGGCUAUCAAGAUGAUGUCAUGGCACAGGAAUUGGGAAAAGAUGAGCACAAUAAGCUCUCACAAGCUAGUAUGAGCCUGCACACCCCUGCUGGUGAAGGUGAGGAUUUCCACAUGGAAACAUGCUGAUGAAAUUCACAUAUGCAGAGCUCAAGUUCAGGAGUAGAAUCUGGUUCUAGUGUCAGAAGAAGCAACCGAAUGAGACCUCUGAGAGCCCUCAGGAGCAAACAAGCAGAAGUACCCACACAGCCCCUGGAACUCACUUCCUUCUUUCUUGCUGCCACUAGUGGUUGUAGUCCUUGUUUGUGAUCUGCGCCAACCAGAUUCAAACAUAGAACCUCUCUGAGUUCCACCAAAGGAAUCCAUUCACGCAAAAGCUUUUUGCACUAUCUGGAUUUCACUGAGAAUUUGGCAAGGGACAGGUAGGAGGGGCUUUACAUUGUGUAUCCCAAUGCAAGCUAUUUAAAAUGCAUGUAAUCUGAUUUCUGUUGUCUCUGACCACACUACCAUAAACAUACAGAUAGAGCUGUGCUCUCUCCCUUUCUCUCCCUUACCUCUUUCUCCUUUAUACCUCCUUCUUCUCUUUCCCUUCCACAGUACCUAGUUUUGUCAGGUCAUCCCUUCCUUAUUGUGC